UAGCCGUUCUUCUGGCACACAAAACCUGGAAGACGCUUCCUAGAAGAGUUAGCAUGGCUGAAAACACAAUUCAUUUGUUGUUGCUACUUGGAUUACUCUUUGCAAGAGAGUGCUGCAACGCUGAUCGAAACACUACUAAACGAAGAGACAUUGUAAAGUUUGUUAACACGAGUGAGCUUAUCUGGACAUAUCAUAGCACAAAACCAAGUUUAAGGUGCAAAGUAGACCAGAAGACGCACCUUAAUGCAACGAGCAUCAUCUUUGAAAGAUCGCAUUACAGAAAAAAGACCGGGAACUGGACACAUAAGUUUCUCCAAGGAACAUUUGGCUAUUGGCUUCCAAAAUAUAACCAAUCCUACGAAGUGAUGUAUAUAAGCCCUGUGGGACUAAGUCCCCACUGGAAGACAGAAGAAGCACUGCUGUACCAAAGCAACAAUAACACUUGUGGCGUGUUCAUGAUUCUCCACAAAG